rnacentral:rRNA from 1 species
CAGCCGUAAACAAUGUGCGUUAGGUGUGUCGGUAACCACGUGUUACUGAUGCGCCGAAGAGAAAUCGUGAAACGCACCACCUGGGAAGUACGGUCGCAAGGCUGAAACUUAAAGGAAUUGGCGGGGGAGCACCACAACAGGUGGAGCCUGCGGGUUUAAUUUGGAUUCAACGCCGGACAUCUCACCGGAUAAGACAGCUGAAUGAUUGUCAAUCUGAAGGUUUUACAUGACUAGCUGAGAGGAGGUGCAUGGCGUCAGUGACU